rnacentral:rRNA from 1 species
UGCGCACGCCGCGUGAGCGAUGAAGGCCUUCGGGUCGUAAAGCUCUGUCCUAAGGGAAGAUAUAGACGGUACCUUAGGAGGAAGCCCCGGCUAACUACGUGCCAGCAGCCGCGGUAAUACGUAGGGGGCAAGCGUUAUCCGGAAUUACUGGGCGUAAAGGGUGCGUAGGCGGUCAAAUAAGUCAGGGGUGAAAGACUAUCGCUCAACGAUAGCAAGCCUUUGAAACUAUUUGACUUGAGUGCAGGAGAGGAGAGUGGAAUUUCUAGUGUAGCGGUGAAAUGCGUAGAUAUUAGAAGGAACACCAGUGGCGAAGGCGACUCUCUGGACUGCAACUGACGCUGAGGCACGAAAGCGUGGGGAGCAAACAGGAUUAGAUACCCUGGUAGUCCACGCCGUAAACGAUGAGUGCUAGGUGUCGGGGGUCAAACCUCGGUGCCGGAGCUAACGCAAUAAGCACUCCGCCUGGGGAGUACGCUCGCAAGAGUAAAACUCAAAGGAAUU